GAUGAACGCUGGCGGCGUGCCUAAUACAUGCAAGUCGAGCGAACAGACGAGGAGCUUGCUCCUCUGACGUUAGCGGCGGACGGGUGAGUAACACGUGGAUAACCUACCUAUAAGACUGGGAUAACUUCGGGAAACCGGAGCUAAUACCGGAUAAUAUAUUGAACCGCAUGGUUCAAUAGUGAAAGACGGUUUUGCUGUCACUUAUAGAUGGAUCCGCGCCGCAUUAGCUAGUUGGUAAGGUAACGGCUUACCAAGGCAACGAUGCGUAGCCGACCUGAGAGGGUGAUCGGCCACACUGGAACUGAGACAAGGUCCAGACUCCUAAGGGAGGCAGCAGUAGGGAAUCUUCCGGAAUGGGCGAAAGCCUGACGGAGCAACGCCGCGUGAGUGAUGAAGGUCUUCGGAUCGUAAAACUCUGUUAUUAGGGAAGAACAAAUGUGUAAGUAACUAUGCACGUCUUGACGGUACCUAAUCAGAAAGCCACGGCUAACUACGUG
rnacentral:rRNA from 1 species